rnacentral:misc_RNA from 1 species
GCCCUCUUUUCCUUCUUUUCUGUUUGGUGCUGUUUCUUUUACACCCAAAAAGAUCAGUUUUUGAGUGACACCAACAGUUUAAAACAAGAAAGGAAGAGUUGCUAUGGAGAGAAAAUCGAUAAUAAUUUGUGGGGUUGUGGGAUUUCUAGGGUUAUUAUCUGCUGUUACUGGUUUUGCUGCUGAGGCCACAAGGAUUAAGGGUUCUCAGGUCCAGGUUCCGACUCCUACAGAAUGUGUAUAUCCGAGGAGUCCUGCACUGGGUCUUGGAUUGACUGCUUCUGUGGCUCUUAUGGUUGCUCAAAUAAUUAUCAAUGUAGCAAGUGGAUGUGUCUGCUGUCAGAAAGGCCAACAUCAAUCAGCAUCUAAUUGGACGCUAGCACUAAUAUGUUUUGUUGUAUCCUGGUUUACAUUUGUUAUAGCAUUUCUAUUGUUGCUAACAGGCGCAGCAUUGAAUGAUCAGCAUGGUGACGAGAACCUGUAUUUCGGCAACUACUAUUGCUAUGUUGUAAAGCCUGGAGUAUUUGCUGGAGCUGCUAUCUUGUCCCUUGCCAGUGUUGCUCUUGGAAUCACCUAUUAUCUUUCCUUGACAUCUGCAAAGAACAUCAAUGAUCCAUGGCGUCCACCAGCUCCAAGUCAAGGUGGUAUUGCAAUGGGACACCCACAAUUUCCUUCACAGACCAGUCAGGAGCCAGUUUUUGUGCAUGAAGAUACUUAUAUGAGACGCAUAUCUACCUGAUUGUCCCUAGACCCGUAUAAACAUAAGGAAUGGAGGUGUUAAGGGUGUAAUAGUCGUCUUCUAUAUGUGAAACACUCUCCUUCGUGAGACUAUUGUAUCAUACUAUUUUUUUUUGUUUUUUCAUUUGCUAUGGCUGUGGCAGUGAUAGCUUAAUUUUGUCGGAAAUUUGUAGCCUUUAGCAUGUUUCAGGAGGUGAUGUGUGUACGUAAUCCAACAAUGCAACAUACUCUUGUAUUGAACUCUGUAGUUUCG